rnacentral:rRNA from 1 species
UACGGAGGAUGCAAGCGUUAUCCGGAAUGAUUGGGCGUAAAGCGUCCGCAGGUGGUUGUGUGUGUCUAUUGUCAAAGCAUCAUGCUUAACAUGAUAAAGGCAGUAGAAACUACACGACUAGAGUGCGUUCGGGGCAGAGGGAAUUCCUGGUGUAGCGGUGAAAUGCGUAGAGAUCAGGAAGAACACUGGAGGCGAAAGAGCUCUGCUAGGCCGCAACUGACACUGAGGGACGAAAGCUAGGGGAGCGAAUGGG